GACGAACGCUGGCGGCGUGCUUAACACAUGCAAGUCGAACGGAAAGGCCCUGCUUUUGUGGGGUGCUCGAGUGGCGAAAGGGUGCGUAACACGUGAGUAACCUGCCCUUGACUUUGGGAUAACUUCAGGAAACUGGGGCUAAUACCGGAUAGGAGCUCCUGCUGCAUGGUGGGGGGUGGAAAGUUUCGGCGGUCGGGGAUGGACUCGCGGCUUAUCAGCUUGUUGGUGGGGUAGUGGCUUACCAAGGCUUUGACGGGUAGCCGGCCUGAGAGGGUGACCGGCCACAUUGGGACUGAGAUACGGCCCAGACUCCUACGGGGGGCAGCAGUGGGGAAUAUUACACAAUGGGCGGAAGCCUGAUGCAGCAACGCCGCGUGCGGGAUGACGGCCUUCGGGUUGUAAACCGCUUUCGCCUGUGACGAAGCGUUAGUGACGGUAAUGAGUAAAGAAGCACCGGCUAACUACGUG
rnacentral:rRNA from 1 species